GAUGAAGAACGUAGCGAAAUGCGAUAAGUAAUGUGAAUUGCAGAAUUCCGUGAAUCAUCGAAUCUUUGAACGCACAUUGCGCCCCUCGGUAUUCCGUGGGGCAUGCCUGUUCGAGCGUCAUUUACCCCUCAAGCACUGCUUGGUGUUGGGCGUCUGUCCCGCUUCGCGCGCGGACUCGCCCCAAAGGUAUUGGCAGCGGUCGUGCCGGCUUCUCGCGCAGCACAUUGCGCUUCUCGAGGCGGUCGAUCGGCGUCCACGAAGCUCACCUCCACCGUUUGACCUCGGAUCAGGUAGGGAUACCCGCUGAACUUAAGCAUAUCAAUAAGCGGAGGA
rnacentral:misc_RNA from 1 species